rnacentral:siRNA from 1 species
CGGCCAUGCGUAUUGUUCGU